rnacentral:rRNA from 1 species
AGAGUUUGAUCAUGGCUCAGGACGAACGCUGGCGGCGUGCUUAACACAUGCAAGUCGAACGAUGAACCUCCUUCGGGAGGGGAUUAGUGGCGAACGGGUGAGUAACACGUGGGCAACCUGCCCCGCACACUGGGAUAAGCCCUGGAAACGGGGUCUAAUACCGGAUAUGACUCAAGGUCGCAUGGUCUUGGGUGGAAAGCUCCGGCGGUGCGGGAUGGGCCCGCGGCCUAUCAGCUUGUUGGUGAGGUAACGGCUCACCAAGGCGACGACGGGUAGCCGGCCUGAGAGGGCGACCGGCCACACUGGGACUGAGACACGGCCCAGACUCCUACGGGAGGCAGCAGUGGGGAAUAUUGCACAAUGGGCGCAAGCCUGAUGCAGCGACGCCGCGUGAGGGAUGAAGGCCUUCGGGUUGUAAACCUCUUUCAGCAGGGAAGAAGCUCUUGAGUGACGGUACCUGCAGAAGAAGCGCCGGCUAACUACGUGCCAGCAGCCGCGGUAAUACGUAGGGCGCGAGCGUUGUCCGGAAUUAUUGGGCGUAAAGAGCUCGUAGGCGGUUUGUCGCGUCGGUUGUGAAAGCCCGGGGCUUAACUCCGGGUCUGCAGUCGAUACGGGCAGGCUAGAGUUCGGUAGGGGAGAUCGGAAUUCCUGGUGUAGCGGUGAAAUGCGCAGAUAUCAGGAGGAACACCGGUGGCGAAGGCGGAUCUCUGGGCCGAUACUGACGCUGAGGAGCGAAAGCGUGGGGAGCGAACAGGAUUGGAUACCCUGGUAGUCCACGCCGUAAACGGUGGGCACUAGGUGUGGGCGGCAUUCCACGUCGUCCGUGCCGUAGCUAACGCAUUAAGUGCCCCGCCUGGGGAGUACGGCCGCAAGGCUAAAACUCAAAGGAAUUGACGG